rnacentral:rRNA from 1 species
UGGACGAAAGUCUGACGGAGCAACGCCGCGUGAGUGAUGAAGGUUUUCGGAUCGUAAAGCUCUGUUGUUAGGGAAGAACAAGUACCGUUCGAAUAGGGCGGUACCUUGACGGUACCUAACCAGAAAGCCACGGCUAACUACGUGCCAGCAGCCGCGGUAAUACGUAGGUGGCAAGCGUUGUCCGGAAUUAUUGGGCGUAAAGGGCUCGCAGGCGGUUUCUUAAGUCUGAUGUGAAAGCCCCCGGCUCAACCGGGGAGGGUCAUUGGAAACUGGGGAACUUGAGUGCAGAAGAGGAGAGUGGAAUUCCACGUGUAGCGGUGAAAUGCGUAGAGAUGUGGAGGAACACCAGUGGCGAAGGCGACUCUCUGGUCUGUAACUGACGCUGAGGAGCGAAAGCGUGGGGAGCGAACAGGAUUAGAUACCCUGGUAGUCCACGCCGUAAACGAUGAGUGCUAAGUGUUAGGGGGUUUCCGCCCCUUAGUGCUGCAGCUAACGCAUUAAGCACUCCGCCUGGGGAGUACGGUCGCAAGACUGAAACUCAAUGAAUUUUGAACGGA